rnacentral:rRNA from 1 species
UACGAAGGGUGCAAGCGUUACUCGGAAUUACUGGGCGUAAAGGGUGCGUAGGUGGUCUUUUAAGUCCGUUGUGAAAUCCCUGGGCUCAACCUGGGAAUGGCAGUGGAUACUGGAAGGCUAGAGUGCGGUAGAGGGUAGUGGAAUUCCCGGUGUAGCAGUGAAAUGCGUAGAGAUCGGGAGGAACACCAGUGGCGAAGGCGGCUACCUGGACCAGCACUGACACUGAGGCACGAAAGCGUGGGGAGCAAACAGG